rnacentral:lncRNA from 1 species
AAGAUAAGCUAAUAACUUUGGACACAAUUUCACUCCUCUGCAUUCACCAAAUGUCCAAUUACAUAUCCUCCCUGCCUGGACCUUCAGAACAAUAUAAAACUGAAUGAAGGCUAUGAAAGAAGUCACAGGAGGAUUUUUGCAGAGCUUCCAUCCAGUUCAGAAACAAAGCAAUUCAAUACAUGUCUUCAAGAUUUCUAAAGGCAAUGACUUAAUUCUAAGUUCCAUGAAAGCAGGCAUUGUGUGAAUUUCUCCUGCAUCUGGAACUGGCCUAGCACACCAAAUGGAGUCUCACUCUGUCUCCCACGCUGGAGUGCCUCUGAAUGCUGUUUUAGCCAUGGUUCUGGAGAGGGUAGCGACAGGAGCUGUCUAGGUGGGAUCCAGAGGAAAGUACGAAUGAGCAGAAGGUGUUGAAAAGCUAAUUCACAGCUCCCCAGCUGCCUACUUGUGGGGACAGCUUUCUUCGGCUGCAGGCAGUAAUUGCUUUACUGCUAUCCUAAAUUGCCCUGGAGAAGAAAGCAAAGCUUUGCUUGCUUUAUCCUGUGGAUUUAAAGCAGUGCCUAUACUUGCUCUGCAUAGAAGAGAACUUCUCCUACAGAUAUUUUUAUUCUAAUCCACGCAACACAUUCCAGUUGAAACAAGAUUUUGAAGACACGCCCUAGUGUACAUUUUAUCUGCACUGGCCUCAUGAGGAAAAUCAAAUAAGAUUAUCUUACAUUACAAAAUUUUCUUGCAUACUUUAUGCAACAGUGGAAACAACACAGGAUUGGAAUUAGAAGACCUGGUUUUAAAUACCAAAUUGUUCCCCAGAAUGAUCUGAUCCUACUGCUUAGCCUAUCUGGAUGUCAGUUUCUACAUCUCUAAAAGGAAGACACACAGAGGAGAAUGCUAUCUGAAGAUGGAGGCAGAGAUUGAAGUGAUGCAUCUACAGGGAUUGCUGGCCGCCACCACAAGCUAGAAGAAGCAAGGGAGGAUUAUUCCCUAGAGCCUUUGGAUGGAGCAAGAAUCCAAGAAGACUCUAAAACCUCCAGUACUCAUGAAGAGAUGAGUUUGCUCAUUAUCAAUCUCAUUGAUCCUUAGCAUCGGAGCUGAGAGGGAGCCAGGAUGUUCAUCACACUGUGUAAAUGGCCUCUGUGAAGAACUUCCUGGGGUAUGGUCCAGCUUCCUGGAAUGGAAAAUUCUUCAAAUCAAAGGCAGAGGGUAAGGAAGAAAAUGAGAACUGAAACUGCUCCAAUCCCAGCUAGGAGAGAGGAAGAACUGUAAAGAAACCCCCCAAAUUACAUUGUAGAAUUAUUUUUCCCUAUGGUAUUAGGUUGAUCCCCCUUUCCUGGCCACCAGCAGCCCCUUUCCACACUUCUAGGAGCACCAGGAUCAAUUACCAUUCAUUGUUAUUUCAUGUGCAUAGACAACAGAACUUGCUGCUGUCAUAAAAGUAAAGGAACAGAUUUCUUAAAUUGCUACUUGAAGGAGCUCUUCUAUAUCAGUGCCAUUAAAUUAAAUUUCUGCUCUGUA